rnacentral:ncRNA from 2 species
AUGAUUCACCAGGGGUGCUUUGAUUCAACAAUCAAAGCUGAGAAAAACCCUUAGAACCUGCACUGGGUAAUGCCUGCGGAGGGAGAGUGAGCUUCAAAGGUU